UGUUGGAAAGCUUUGGACAGGGGUGUCGAAGCGAAAAAAAGAAAAAAAAAUUCCAACAUUUUCAUUUUCAUUCUUCAUUUUUUACUUUACUUUUGCAGAAUGUAUCGUUUCUUUUCCUUUAAACUUCGUAAAGUGACUGACUUGGCGGAAGAAAAAUCUCCCUGGUUGGAGCUGUUCGAUGAACAUCAGGAAACAAUUGAGGGGAUACGAGUUAUGGUUAUCCCGUUCUACUUGGGUUGCCACGAUGAGCCGACUGCUUCCGUUGAUUGGUAUCGCAACAGAGAAGAAUACCAAUCAUGAUAAAGGAACAAAGCAAAUCACAGGGGGUAGACAAAAAGGAGAACAACAAAGAUUAAUCCGGUAUUUCCUAUUUCAACUCGGAGGAGUACGAUUAGAAAAACCGUUCACAAGAACAGCAGCAGAAAACAGCAUCCGAAUCCGGUUACAGAAGAAGCCUAUAGGACCGGCAAUGAGGCGGAUGUUAAUCGAAAUUUCAAGCAAAAGCACAGGCGACUGAAGGUGCGGAAAAGUGCCGAGGAAGGAUCUCCUCCGGACAUCGUCUUCGGUGGAUGUGCAUCGAACAGUUCUUCCGACCGAGAACAAGAAGUCGAUCCCUCUAUGUAAAGCAAAAAAAUAUUUUACAUCCCGUCCUGGCAUAUGAAUUGGGCAACAUUGCCAUGAAGAAGUACCGCAUGAUGGAAGUUUCAAGUUGAGCCAUGAGUUUGCCGCCAAAAUAAAAAAAAACUAUAUUCCGGCACAAAGAUGAUCGAUUUCAUAUUAAAUUGACAAUAAAGAUUCAA